UGUGUUGGGAGGGGCGGCGGGAAGUGUGGUGGAGGCGUGGACAGCGAGUGGGGAGUUGAGUGGCCUCGUGGGGCGGCUCGUGGUUCUCCCCAACACACCCGAUCACUCUCGCUUGUUUCCCUUUCUGUGUCCUCCUGUCACUCAGUAUUCCCUUCCCUGUCUCCGCCGUUGUUCUCAAGGAGUUGUUCUUACUGAUGCAAGCCCUUUAGAGCUCCAGUGUGCAUGAGCACGGUUGGAACUGGUGCCUUGGCGCGGGCAGACCACGUGAGGGCAGCAAGGCAGCCACGUGAUAACCCUCUGACUAGAAACUUUAGCGUAUAUAAGACUCUGCGAGCCUUCAGGAACCCAGUGUGCAGCUUGUGUAGGGGACCGUUCGUGCCACGGAGAAGGCCAUACACAGGUGACAAUGGCGCUGACUUCACCGGCGUCGCGUCAGCCCGGAGUUAAAAUGUUUGCCUUCAAAGUGAUGAGGAAACGUUUGUUCAAGCGAUUCCUCAUGUUAGAAACGAGUGUCGGGCUGUACAGUGAGCAAGCACCUAUUGGUGGCGAGCCGCGGGCCGUGUUGGGCCGUGCGCCUUCAUUAACUGCGCCGCGACACCGACGGGCGCCGCGCCGCGAUGUAUCCACGGAGUAAGCCAAUUAACCAGAGUCUGGACGAGGUGUUUCAUCUCAUCCUAUUUGCCACGCUGGACCGCUGGCUGCCGGCGGCAGGCCCAUCGCUGGACUCCCAAGGGUCAUGCACCGCGGCCCUCGUAAUCCCUGGUAACGGAUACCUCAUUUGUCUUGCUUGUUUGUACUGAGUUAUCACUUCCCUGGAAAGAAUUUCCUUCUUUUUUUGGCAUCAUACGUUGAAAUGUUUUCCAACAUGGACGAAACUUUUCAUCACUCCU